ACGCUUUGUAUGCGGUGGUCCCACUUUUAUUUACUGCGUCAAUUUUAGUGUAAAACGUGACAAAAGAAAAGUUUAAGGUGUUUAUAAAUGUAAUUACUUGAGUGUGGAUACAACUACGAAAGGCUGCAGUACAUUAGUGCUUCAGAUCUUGAUUUAAUAUUUUCCAAGAGAGAACAUCUUGGUCUGAAAUCCGAGUUCCGCGAGAAGCUCCAAAAAUGGAAGCGAGCACAACACAUUGAUGUCUGCGCAGGGGAUACGACACCAACAUAUAAAGAAAAGGUGACAUCACAACAAA